rnacentral:lncRNA from 1 species
CUAGAUUUUGUCCUUGAACAUGGAGAAUGAUAAGCAGAUAGGCUCCAAGCAAUCGCUCACAAACUCUCAGUCGAGUCAUUGUUCACUGUUAAUCCUUCCUGUGCAAGGCAAGUGGCCCUUCUGCUUGACAAUCGUUAAGCUUAGUCUGUUUGGUGAAGCCUAAUACAAGACUGCAAGGAUGAUUCUGUAACUCUUCCAACUUCGUUUCCUUACUUUGAAUUAAGAAACUGAAUGAAACUAUACUGUACUUCAAGCUUCCUCCAGACUGUUUUCAUCUGUACUUCCACUUCAUUAGUUCAAAGGUGGUAUUAUGGAAACGCAUAUUUCUAUUAAUCGCUCCUGGGGGCUCCUCAUCCUCUGCGGCGGGAGAGAAGGCGAAGCAGGAGAAAGCCGCUCCCGCUGCGCUACACAGGCCGCGCCCGGGACCCCGACGGCUCCUGGGAGACGGGAGCGAGGGCGGCCGAGCGCCGGGAGGGGGAGGGCGGGGCGGGGCGGCUCGGCGCAGGCUCUCUCCCCGGCAGGCGCUCCCGACGCCCGGCGCGUCCCUGCGGAGCGGGCGGGCGGGGCGGGCCGGAGCCGGAUUCCAAUCACGGCACCCGUCGAGCCCGGUCGCGCGCACGGCGGAGGGCGGGGGAGAGCGGGGACGCGCGCGCAGCAGAGGCAGCGCCAACGGCCGCCGUUGAGAGGCGUGAGGCCGCCCCUCGGAGCCCUCCCGCUUUCCCCGGCCUUCCAUCCACACGUGCGCCGGGCGGGGCACACCGGGAAAAAGUUGGCCGCUUUCCCUCCCCCGUAGCUCGUCUCCCGAGCGGUAGCGCAGGCCGCAGCUAGCCGCCGCCUGAGGCUCCGCGCACCGCUGGCCGAAGGGCCGUCGAGCAGAGCUUUCCCGGUGAAAUAGGCGCGGCCGCUCCUGUAGGAGGCGCCAGAGAGGCACGAGGGCGCGGCGGCGUGCUGGGGAGGCGGGGUGAUGGCAGCUGCUUUGUGUGAUGGGAGUUGGGGCAGGCGGGUGGCGGUGGCUGCUGCCCGUGGAAAAAGGAGGGCCUUACACCGGUCCUUUAGCUCUGUGGAAGAAUAGUUCUCACAGGCUUGACGUCCCAGUGCCUUAUGAGAGUGCCAUUACAAUGAACAGAACUGCUUUUUUUUUUUUUUCCAUUUCCUGUUUCUCUAAAUAAACAAAGCUAGUUAGAUUGGAAUACAUUAUAACUUCUGCAGCGAGCUUCUCUGCUCGCUGAUAAGGUUGCUAAAGGCUAUGAUUUGCAUGGCAUUUCCGAGCUCCUCGUCAUUAGGACACGUUACCAACGUAACAAUUUGUCUGUCUGUCUCCCAGCAGCAGCGCAGAAGGUGCCUUAGGAACGCUGUGCCAUGGGGUGAGCAGCCUGCGUGGGCCGAACCUGUCACUCAACAGGGUGGCAGCGACUAAGGAUGUGGUCCCAUUACAUGGUUCUGCGCCAAGAACUUUGUGCACAGGGCCAACCAUAGAGGGAAAGUAAGACCAUAUGAGAAACUAGGACCACGCUAACCUGCUCGCUUUCCCUUUGCUAUUGACCAAGACACCCUUCAGGCCAUUUGCCUGCCCAGAUAAGCUGUUUUUAGAACGUAACCAAUUGGGAAGCAAUCUCGCUUAGCCACAUGCGUGUAUGAUGUGGGAAACCCUGCUUUGCUCAUUGUGCUGACCUCUACACGGUCCAGCUCCGUUUUUGUCUGCUAGUGUCAUAUAGAGUUUAUGUUGUCCCAUUUGUGUAAGAUGAGCGCAUUGGCUCUGUAAUAUAGUUCACAUGUGUUGUACAUGUGGAUUGUUAGGUAACUGCUUAGCUUGCAUUCUAUCCCAUAUAGUAAAACAAAGGAGGAAGUCCAUUCAAACCUAUCUGCUUUGCAGACUCCUUUAAAACACAGGCAAUUAAAGGCACACCUAGUAAGUGUAGGUGGCCAGAUACUACAGAGAAAGGCAUUAAAAAAUGCAGGACUUGCAUUACUAGACUUGUAGAAAAUUUUUUCCGAUGAGCCAGAAAAAAAUGUCAGUGUCCAAGACAAAGACAGCCAAGAAAGACAAAAUCACAGUGCUCAUGCCAAGCAAUACAGAACUUGUGUGCUUAUGUUUAUAAUUUCAAAGGAAAAUAUGAGUCUGCUGUUCCUCCACUCGGUCUACUAUCAGAUUAUAGCAACAGAAUAGACACUCAAUAUGGAAGAAGAAUGCAACAUGCAUGUGUGUGCUCCCAAGCAGAACCAAAGCUGCUAGAGCUAGCAUCUCUUUCAGUAAUAAUCUGUGUGGCAAUACAGUCCUGCAUUUUUCAGAUGUUGGAUAGUGAUUUAAAUCCAUUAUGCCUGAAUUCAGCAAAAGCCACUAGCCUUGAAAUUUGGUUUUGAGCCCGCUUAUGAAAUAGACCAGCUAUUUUCAUCGAAUUUCUCAUAAGUAAUUUUGCAAAUCGCAGAAACUGCUCUGUAAACUGAUACUGUUAAAAGCGCUCAGGCACUGAGGGUAUCUCAGGCGACAGUCCCUGUCACAUCAGGAAUUGUGCUGCUGAGGAUUUGGUUUGCUCUACCCUGCCAGUAUGCCUAUUCAUGGCAUAAAUAAGGAGCAUCAGGCUGUGUAAAUACUAGUCUUAAUCACAAAAUAAAUUCAGUAAAAAUAAACUACAUUUUAAUAAUAUUAGGCCUGCAGAAGACAGCUUAAUCUUAAUCUGAAAUGAUGAAUCAUAACAACCUUGAAGGGUAUUUGCAUCACAGUAUUGUGCUGGUUGUCUGAUGAAACAUCACUUGGAAAGUACUGUAUUUUUCAAAACAUACAGUAUGAUAGAAUCAUGGAAUUGCUCAGGUUGGAAAAGACCUUAAAGAUCAUCACAUCCAACCACAACCUAACCAUCCUACCCUAACUCUAACAACCCAUAGCUAAAUCAUGUCCCUGAGCACCACAUCCAAACGGUUUUUAAAGACGUCCAGGGAUGGUGACUCAAACACCUCCCUGGGGAGCUCAUUCCUUAAUUCGCUUAACAACCCUUUCUGUAAAGAAGUGUUUCCUGAUAUCCAACCUAAAAUUACCCUGGCACGACUUGAAGCCAUUUUCCCUCAUCCUGUCACCUGUCACCAGUCAGAAGAGACCAACCCUGCUCUCGCUGUAAGCACCUUUCAGAUAUCAGAAGAGAGCAAUAAGGUCUCCCCUCAGCCUCCUUUUCCCCAGACUAAACAGCCCCAGUUCCUUCAGUCUCUCCUUGUAGGGCAUAUUCUCCAAGUAUCUACCAUAUGGUUUCAAUUUCAUAAGAUAUAAACUUUUUUGAAACAUAUGGAUUAACAACAAAAGUAUGAAAACUAUAUGAUUAGACUAAAAUUCCUUGUUUACAUUCAUAUAGCAGUCUGUAUGUGAGAAGGAGUUUGUUGACCAAUGCUAAUGUGUUAGGUGAUGCAGUAGGGUGAUGGAAGCAUUUUCUUUAUGUGCUGCCUAAAGAACUUGGUUGUAUUUCCCUUAAUGAAAGUAACUGUGGAAGUUUAACUUCAGAAAGAAUCAAACCCGUUUUGUUUUGACCUGCCUUGUUUACCUUGCAGGAAAGGUAGCGAUACCUGUUUAAAUCAAAGAUGAACACUUUAGGUGAUAGGCACUUAGAAAGAGGCAGUGUUCCCCUGAGCUGGUUAUCAGUAACAGACAUCUCACCUGGUCAGGAUUUAGCAAUCUGCAAAAGCUUGGACACGUCAGGUUUUAGUAACAUGAGGUAUUUAUCCUGGUAGUAGAGCAGCACUCAGAGACACUGUAGUCUGAAUUUGAAAAUAAACUUUGGUUAAUUCUCCACUUGUCCAGGAUGGGGUGUGGAAGCCUAUCAUGAAAUACGGAAAGAGCAGUUCAAGACUGUCAUGAUGAAGAGAGCUGUAUUAAAGAAAUAUUAGAUCAUGAAUUGGGUAGUCUUGCAGCUGCUUUCUUCUGUCAUUCCCUGCCCAGGAAUUUCUUACUAGUUCUUGGAAUCACUGGGGAACUGCGAAUCCUAAACUUAUGUUUAAGAGAGGUGUGCAUAGGUAGAAGGUCAUCCAUCUGAUAGGACUUAAUCUUUGUAGAUCCUUCUUCCCUUCGGGCUCUGAAAUUCAUGUGUGUAAAAUCUGUGAUCCAAAUAUGUUUUUGAAAACUGUUUGCAAUUAGAUGAGUGCUUCGCUGUUACUGAUACCAAAAUGAAUAUUCCACGCCACAUAUUAAAUGGAUAUUACCCUUUAGAUGGGGACACAUUCCUUUCACUUUAUUUACAUUAAUUCUUGUCUUUUUUUUUUCAGAAUUAUUUUACUUGAAAACACAUUCUUUUGAUUAUAAAGCCAUUGGAACUGUCUGCUAGUUAGAAAUGAUACGGAUCUUAUUAAGUGUUUUAAAUGGAGUCUUGGUUAAUUCAAUAGGGUAGAAUCAAAUCUGUGAGGGAAGGGUUUUUUUUACUUCUUCUUCUUUUUUUUUUUUUUUUUAAUCUAUGAGUGAAGCACUGAUAGCAAAAAGGCAGAAGUAUUUUUCAGCAUUGCAAGCCUCAGCCAACCUUCAGCCCAAAAAGCGUGACGUGGAACUGAGCGCCGUGCAGGACUGCAGAGCGCCGUGGAGAGACUCCGAAGAGCAGCAGCUCAAUGUGCAGAACACAGGCGGGAGGAAACAGGAAACCAUUCCCACAGCUGCAGCACUUGCUGUAUUCUGGUGGUAUUGCUUGGUUUCUGCAGUCCAGGUUCUCUAACCUCGUUCUAGUAAACAGUGAGGAAGGAGGAUAUAAGGGCUAUCUAUACCUGUGAUAUGACUUAGGCAGCUGUUGCAGGAGCUGAACAGAUUCCUAAAUAAGCCAUGUAGUAAGGACCACAACUGUAACUUGCCAAGGGCUGUAGGAAUGGGAGAACUUUGCCUGACUUUACAAGUGCUCUAGGAGACAUUUUGCCAAUCAUGAAUCAAAUUUCCCAUUGCCUUUUCUGUUUGCUUUUUCUUUGUUGUUUGGUUUUCCUUUCUAUGCCUUGUUGAGCUUUUUACAUUCCUAUUCUUAAUGGACUCCUGUGUACAAAAAGCAUAUUCCACUCCUUUCACCAGACCGUAGUAAACUCUGAGACAACUUUCCUUAUAAAUGCAAGAAAUAUUUCAUAUAUAUAUAUAUUUGUAUGUUAAAGCCAAUGUAGAGUAGCGAGAACAUAAAAAGUCUGACAGGAAAAGAGUGUAUGCUCAGCAGGAGCUUCACCUGGGCGCUUUGUUCACGUCAGUUUGCUGGAGACUUAGUGAUAUGGUUUCCCUAGAUGCAUGCAAAUAAAAUCUGUGAAGUCUUCGUUUGCUCUAACAAGAUCAAGUAUUUAGGGUUAGACUCUACUGCUGCUUUAAAAUUGAUAGUUUGAAUUAACUAUCAUUCUGCAGUGCCAAAUGAUGUGCAAGGAAGUUUUAAUUAUCAGCUUCACCCUUAGAAUAUUUGUAAUACACUAACAUACAUUUCUGUCCCUCCACUUUUUAUUACAAGUGAGAUUUAUUAAUUCCUUUUACAAGCUUGGGUGAUCCUUACAUCCCAAACCAUGCUGUAUUAACUUCUCUCCUCCUUAUGGUGGGGGCUUCAUCCCUUCCAACUUUUUUAACAAAUAAUUCACUUCUUUACAACUGACGGUCCUUUUCAGCCACAGAAACUGAAUGCUGAAAUAGGAAAUGUUUUCCAGUCUGCUGUUAAACAAAGAGAACUCUUCAUAAUGCAGACCAAAAAAGUCUGUCGAUAUGUGUAAUAGCUUUAUCCUCAAGAGGAGUGGAUUUGGGCGGCUUUGUUGCUGGCAGCUCUGGUGGGCACUGUCAAGAUUUAUAAAGAGGGACAUUUACAAGACGGAAGAUGCAGUGUUCUUCCAAGGCUGUUAGAACAAAAUAGAUCUGAAUCCCAUACAAAACAAAUGAACCGAAUAAUUUUAAUUAAUCAAAUCCUAUUUUUUUUUCUCUCAGUGUAAUCAUAUCUUUAAUCUUGAAUGCAUUGCUGUUAAAUAAGAAAUGUAGCAAAAUAUUCACCUCUUUUUUCAUUCUCUUGCGCAAACAAUGUAAUAUAGAUCUGUUAAAUCUGAAAGAAAAGGAUUUGCUCAUAUUUCAGUCACAGCAGUCAACCCACACGUUUGAAAAUGUGUAAUGAAGUAAGGGCAUAGUAAGAAAUCUUUUCUCCCUCUGUCCUAAAGAUAACUGCAUAUGUACUGGAACUUGAGUAAGCUCAAAAAACAUGAAUGCUGAUAAAUAAUCUAUAACUUCCCUUGCUUCCAGGGAGAAAUGGCCUUCGCCUGCAAAUCUCUGGAUUUGGCAACUAUACCUAAUUCAUUUUAAACUCCCACUGACAUCAGCAAAAAUUACCCAAUUAGGGAUGCAGGAUCGGAUCUAAGAUGGUAGCAUAUUAAAAUGCUAUUAUAAAUUCAAAAGAUGCUACACAAAGUAUAAAGCAUUCAAGGCAGUUGAACAGUUCUCAGCGUGCAUAUUCAAAAUGCUAAACAAUAGCAGCUAUUGCAUGUGUGACCAUCAGGAAACACAGCUGUGCUUCUUUGUGUUACAAUUAAUUACUUCCGUUGUAUAUAAAAUUGAAAGUAUUGGUACUCUGGGGCGGAAGAAGGAUAUCCUGAUACACUGCUCCUAUUUCCUUAGGAAGGACUAUGACUGAACCUUUCACCAUUAAUAAAGUUGCAAUGACUUUUCCUGCGAUGAAUAAAGGAAGGGUAAAUUUUGUGGUUAAUUAUAAUGCUAAUGGUACUUUUUCUCUGCAUUUUUACACUCCUACAUUUAUAUCUCAUUUUAGUGUUUUCGCAUGCCAUCUUUGAUAACAAUUGCUCACUUCUAAGUAGUUGAACUUAAUGAAAAGUCUAAAGUAAAUAUUUGGCUUAAAGAUUGUUCUAUUUUUUUUUUUUUUUUUAAUGAUAUUGGAUCAGAGGAAAGCAUAAAACUUCACCACUGUUCUUUAGCAGGCCGAGUAAAAUCUUCUUACCUUAGACAACAGACAACAGCUUCUGUGACUGUUCAGGAAACCAGUGAAGCCUCCAUCAGCCAACAGCAACUGGCAGAAUUUAAGAUUCACAAUUAGGGGAAAAAGCAACGCCAAAGCCCAUAGUCUGGAAAUCACCAUUUUCUUCAGAGCAAAUCAUAGUCUCUCUCCUAUUAAGAACCUCUUAACGCAACACUUGUCAAGCUGUAUUGCACCGUGUGUUUCUCUAAUGAACUUUGCUCUGUUCACUUUUUGCACCCUAUUAUCUGGCAGAGUGUUAUACCUCUAGCGCUUCCCCUUCGUACCGCUCAGCUCCCCAGGGAUCACGGUACAACUGUCUAGUGCAAAGUUCAAAGGUCAGCACAGGCAAUCUGGAAAAAGAGCAGUUGAAAACUAACAGCAAUCCGUGGACGUUCUGUUCAUUCUUCUGAAUUGUGUUUUGCCUUACGCACGCUGUAAACAAAUCAGGGCUGUAAAAUAAAAUCAAAGUUCACACGUUUGCAGUUCUUGAUACUGUACUUUGUAAGCCAUCUAAAGCCAAGUUUGUCCAUUUAUUAUCUAAAUCCUUAAUUAUGUUUAUUAUCUAACUUCUUAAUUAUGUUUAAUAUAAUUAGUUGUAUCUUUAAAAAUACUGCAUGCCUGAGGGGUGUGGAUUAGGAAUGCACAAAAUGGCUGUUUUAAUAAGUCACGCUGCUAUACGAAGAUACUCUUUCAUUUGGAAGUACUUUUUUGGCACUAGAGUUCAAUGAGAGCAUUUAAAACACUUUGUAUAUUAAAGUCACUUCUGCUAAGAAACGGAGCAACACCCACCAGAACCCACGCAAUCAAACUUCGUUCACAGAUUCAUCCACGUAACCCAAGACAGAAUUUACCUAUUCCUUGUAAACUUGCUAUAAACAGCAUUUGUUGACACGAUAAGGUCUCUGAGUAUACAAGUCUUGCUAAGUUACAACAUGUACUGUUAGCACACUACAUCUCUUGAGCGUACUAACGUUUAAAACAGCACAAUUCAGUUAAUGAAACAUUCAAGACUGAUACGCAGUGAGGUUGAAACCAAUGCUUUUAAUUUUAUUUUCAGGUUCGAAGUAGAGAAUACAAGCUUGUGUAUGCUGUCAGCUGUUCACAUGCCAUAUUAACAAAUAUGUCUGAAUCGUAAAGCUUUAAAUGUAUUUGUACAUUCGUUUUAUUACUAGACUGUUUUAUCCAUGUUGGCACAGGUAAUCCAUGCAAGGUACAGUUACUCACACCUCAUAAACCAUGCUGCAUUCUGAUCUGAACUAAGAACUUCAGAAAAAUAUGUAUCUAAAAGCAAGGGCACUUGUGGCAUCAAGUCAACAUGUAAAUAUAUUAUAAAACCUAGACUUCUAUGAUCACCGCAGACAAGAAAUCACUCAGUUUCAAAUUCGGAUGUUUGUAAAUGCUAAACAACUUAAUAUCUGCUACCUGGAGACAAGUAUUACAAAUAAACAUCAGCAUACCCAGCAUUAGACACUAAUGAGUGUGUUCAGUGCUGUGGAUGUUCACAUUAUUAAACAUAAAUAUGUCUUUAAGGAAACAUUUCACCCAAAGUACUGACCACUGAAGGACCAAAGUAAAAUACUUUUUCCUCGUUUAAAAUUGCAAUGUGUGAAUGCAGUGCAGUACAAAUUAACUUAGAAAAAAUAAGUCAGGUCGAUGGUUUUCUUUUCAGAUAAUAAAAGCAAAGCCUUCUUUGGUAAUCUUUACUCCCUUAUGCAAAAAGAGCAGAAAAAGAGAAAAAGCAUUAAGGUCAUUUUUGAAGCCUUUGGCUGAAAAGAUGCUGAACACCUUAUUAGAUAAAAUACCGGUAUUCCUAUUUGGUCAUUCAGAGGUACAGGAUCUUUGUUUUAUUACGUAAAGUCCCACGUUAAUUAAUAUAAAUAUUUAGGAACUUAUGACUUAUCCCAGGCAUCUGUUAC